rnacentral:rRNA from 1 species
CCUACGGGAGGCAGCAGUGAGGAAUAUUGGUCAAUGGACGAGAGUCUGAACCAGCCAAGUAGCGUGAAGGAUGACUGCCCUAUGGGUUGUAAACUUCUUUUAUAUGGGAAUAAAAUGUUCCACGUGUGGGAUUUUGUAUGUACCAUAUGAAUAAGGAUCGGCUAACUUCGUGCCAGCAGCCGCGGUAAUACGGAGGAUCCGAGCGUUAUCCGGAUUUAUUGGGUGUAAAGGGAGCGUAGGUGGUUUGUUAAGUCAGUUGUGAAAGUUUGCGGCUCAACCGUAAAAUUGCAGUUGAAACUGGAAGUCGUGAGUGCAGUAGAGGUGGGUGGAAUUCGUGGUGUAGCGGUGAAAUGCUUAGAGAUAACGAAGAACACCGAUUGCGAAGGCAGCUCACUGGACUGCAACUGACACUGAGGUGCGAAAGUGUGGGGAUCAAACAGGAUUAGAUACCCUUGUAGUC